AGCAGUAGUAUUGCUGAAAUCCACAGCAACACAGACAUAGUAGGUAGAUAUACUACAUCAAUUUUGAUAAUCUUUCCUUUAUUGCACGGUCUGUUUAAUUCUUAUCUAUUGCCAUUAUUAGCCUGCGAGAGCCUCCUGUGUGUGAUAAAAGUUAAAGGAACAUUAUAGGGCCUGGAACACAAACCUGUAUUCCUGACUAUAUCGUGUUAAAAACACCAUCUGGCCCCUCCUCACCUCCAGAAAUGUAGUAAAAUCUUACCUUUUACUGCAGUCUGCUGCUGGCUCUGCCACUGAUCUACCUGCUUGGCUGACAUAAUCAGAAGUGGUGAUCUGAGCCAAUCACCAUGCUUUUCCGUAGGAAAGCCUGAGAUUAUCAAGGAGGUAGAUCAGGGACAGAUCCAGCACAAGCCAAACACUGCCCUAGCCAAUCAAUUGAAUGCAGAUCUAUAAGGAAAGUUCAG